GCCCCCGUAGCUCAGUCGGAUAGAGCACCGGAUUCCUAAUCCGUAGGCCGUGCGUUCAAAUCGCGCCGGGGGCACCA
rnacentral:tRNA from 1 species